rnacentral:rRNA from 1 species
UACGGGGGGGGCAAGCGUUGUUCGGAAUUACUGGGCGUAAAGGGCUCGUAGGUGGCCAACUAAGUCAGACGUGAAAUCCCCAGGCUCAACUUGGGAACUGCGUCUGAUACUGUAUGGCUUGAAUUCGGGAGAGGGAUGCAGAAUUCCAGGUGUAGCGGUGAAAUGCGUAGAUAUCUGGAGGAAUACCGGUGGCGAAGGCGGCAUCCUGGACUGCAACUGACACUGAUGAACGAAAGCCAGGGGAGCAAACGGG